CUUACUUCCGCUGCGGGAGGUCAAAGCUGCUGGCGUCAAUCUCUUCUGGGAGGAAGCGCGCAUCCGGCUUGGUUCUGAGCUCUUGGUGCAACACCUCUGGCCUACAUCCAGCCCUUCUCUGCCACUUGCAUCCAGAGCGGCUGUUCCUGGAUUCCUAGGGGUCAACUCUCUUCUCAUCUUUUUUUUUUUCCCCUUUAAAGGCUGCUGAUUUCUCUAUUGCAGGAACUAUGUCAUAUUCUUUCUAGUGUGCCCACCAAUGGUUUACAGAGAGAAGUUAUUCAGUUAAGUGUUUAUGGCUGGUGUAGCUGUUCAACUUGGUGCUGGAUACAGGGGCAUAUAGCUCUGGUACACUGUUUACUGAAAUCCUAAACAUGGAUUAGGUGACAAACAAUAAAAAUGAUUCAUAUAGGGCGGCGCCAGUGGCUCAGUGAGUAGGGCGCCGGCCCCAUAUGCCGAGGGUGGCGGGUUCAAACCCAGCCCUGGCCAAACUGCAACAAAAAAAUAGCCGGGCGUUGUGGCGGGUGCCUGGUAGUCCCAGCUGCUCGGGAGGCUGAGGCAAGAGAAUCGCGUAAGCCCAAGAGUUGGAGGUUGCUGUGAGCCAUGUGACGCCACGGCACUCUACCCGAGGGCGGUACAGUGAGACUCUGUCUCUACCAAAAAAAAAAAAAAAAAAUGAUUCAUAUAGAUUUUUCUUGUCCUUUGCCUCAAGUGACUUUUGG